UCUCCCGAGGCCUCCUGGGAGGAAGGCACAAGAGGCAAGGGAAUGUCAAGAAUGACCCAGUGCGUACCUAGUUGUGCAAGAGCCACUUUCUGCCCCUCCCAGAGCCAAGCCUGGGGCCUAUAAAAGACGUCUUGGCUCCAGCAUCUCAUCUGUUCUGACUCCUCAGGGACGAGUCUGUGCUCCUGCCUGGAAACAGGUUGAAAAGUCCCACCAAGAUGUCCUUCCAGCAAAACCAGCAGCAGUGCCAGCCCCCUCCCAAGUGCCCCCCAAAAUGCUCACCCAAGUGUCCUCCAAAGUGCCCGCCCCAGUGCCCAGCCCCGUGUCCCCCUCCAGUCUCCUCCUGCUGUGGCCCCAGCUCUGGGGGCUGCUGCAGCUCUGGGGGUGGCGGCUGCUGCCUGAGCCACCACAGGCCCCGUCUCUUCCACCGGCAGCGCAGACACCAGAGCUCCGACUGCUGUGAGUAUGAGCCCUCGGGGGGCUCCGGCUGCUGCGGUGGCUCUGGGGGCUGCUGCUGACCGGGAGACUGGGCAUCACGAAGCAAUCCUAAGGGGAAACCUCAAGGCAAGGACCUGCUCUAGAGUUGCUUCUCCUACUCCCUCUUCUCUUCGUGGAACUGAUGGAGCCUAUGAAACGACCUGUUUGUUCUCAUCACCCAAGUGUCCAUCCUGGAUCCUGAUCUUCCUUCCUCUUCUCCCUCAUACAACAAUAAAGCUCUGUUGCCUACUUAA